GGAAAAUUGAUACAAUUGAGGGUAAAAUAAAUAGUUUUAUUUAAGAAAUGAGAGUGAGUGAUCAGAGAGAUCAGAGGGAUCAGAGGUUAGGAGAAGGGCAUGUGGUAAAAACUCAUAAUUUUUAUCAGCCCUUUCAAGUCAAUUUUGCAACUACCAAAUCUGAACAUUCUCUGGUAAGAAUUUAAAUAGAAGGAUUGCAGACAUGAGUGAGGAAAGAUACACUCAAGAAUUCGAAGUUGGUCAACAGGGCAAAAGAACAAGUUGAGGAGCUCUGGGAAUCGAGUUUGGCAACCAGGGAGCUGUUGCUGACCUCGCUGGGCAGAGCUGCAGAGCAGCGCUGGUGGCAGAUGUCAGAGUGCAGUGGGAUCAAGAGUGUGUGGUCAAGCGAGGGAGGAAGUGAGUUUAGCUAUGCACUCCAAGAAGUUGGCAGGUGGCAGAACCACUGAGCUAAAUCCCGGGCCCGCAACUUGAUGAGUUUUAAAACAAUGGAGUACAAGUUCUGAGAGUUGCUGUCCUCCUACAGACUGUGAAAACAACAUUUCUUUAUCUCCUGUGGAUCGAGAAGAGCUGGUGAGAGAUAGAAAGCUUCCUUUAGUCACCAGAAGAAAUGUGACUGGGCUCUCUUAUUGCUUUUGCUGCCUUUCUCCACCAUGAACUCUUGGCCCUCUGCCACCCUGCCUCAGAGCCAGCUGAUUAUGUACCGAAACCUCCAUGAACUGUAAGCCAAAUAAACCCUUCCCAUUCAUCUUUGGAUGUCAGUACAUUGAAAGUAUUCUUGCCGGAAGAUGCCGAAUCACCCCGCUGCAGACAGGCAGGAAUGCCUGUGCCCUACUGAGGUUCUGAGUUGCACAGAACAUGCCGAAUCAGCCCACUGCAGACAGACAGCCACCUGGUUCCACACUACAAAGACGCAGAGGACACCAGACCACCAGACCAAGGUACUGAGUCCCACUGCUCCUGGUCCAGAGGAAGGGGCUUCCCGGCCACCAUCCCUCCUGCUGCUCCAAGCCCACAAGAAAGGGCUUUUGGGUCACCAUCCCUACCGCUGCUCCCAGUCCCUGUCCCACCUCUCCCAGCUCAGAGGAGGUAAUCCGUGCAGGCACUAACAGCGCCUCCCCCGUCCAGUCGAAAUGAGAAAGCACUUAAAUAAGUCUCAAAACCAGACUUCUAGAUUACCUACAGCAACCCCAAAGGGAAAUGAGAAGGAACACUCUGAUACUCAACCACCUGGACCCACUGAACUGGCAACCAAAGGAGAUCUGGAAAAAAUGAAAUCAGAAAUAAUUUCUCAGAUAACAGGAGAAAUUGUGCCCCUAGUGCAAGAAAUGAUUAAUAAAUCUAGAGAGGAGCUGAGGAACAUGAUGGAAUCCCAACAUAAGAAACAAAUGGAAUCCAUAAAACAGAUGCAGAUAGAUUUCCAGGACAUGAAAAACUCCACUGAAAGUCUACACAGCAGAAUGAGCCAAUGUGAGGACAGAAUUUCAGAUAUAGAAGAUUGCAAUUAGUGACCAG
rnacentral:lncRNA from 1 species